rnacentral:snoRNA from 1 species
CACUGCGUUUCAGGGCAAUCGCUGCUGCUUGUGUCCUGGUCACUGAGAGUGCAGUGAGAAGAAUUGCAGAAAGCAUUUCCCCAGGUUUGGAGGGCCCAUCCCCAUCCCCUGGGAAGACAGGCGCUUUAACACA